rnacentral:rRNA from 1 species
UACGGGGGGAGCAAGCGUUGUUCGGAUUUACUGGGCGUAAAGGGCGCGUAGGCGGCCACCGCAAGUCAAUUGUGAAAUCUCCGGGCUUAACUCGGAAAGGUCAACUGAUACUGCGGGGCUAGAGUGCAGAAGGGGCAACUGGAAUUCUCGGUGUAGCGGUGAAAUGCGUAGAUAUCGAGAGGAACACCUGCGGCGAAGGCGGGUUGCUGGGCUGACACUGACGCUGAGGCGCGAAGGCGUGGGGAGCGAACAGG